rnacentral:rRNA from 1 species
UUCCGGUUGAUCCUGCCGGACCUGACUGCUAUCGGAUUGAUACUAAGCCAUGUGAGUCAUUGUAGCAAUACAAGGCAGACGGCUCAGUAACACGUAGCCAAUCUAACCUAUGGACGGGGAUAACCUCGGGAAACUGAGGAUAAACCCCGAUAGAUCAUUAUGCCUGGAACGGUUUAUGGUCCAAAUGAUUCGUCGCCGUAGGAUGAGACUGCGGCCUAUCAGCUUGUUGGUGAGGUAAUGGCCCACCAAGGCUAUUACAGGUACGGGCUCUGAGAGGAGAGGCCCGGAGAUGGGUACUGAGACACGGACCCAGGCCCUAUGGGGCGCAGCAGGCGAGAAACCUUUGCAAUGUGCGCAAGCACGACAAGGUUAAUCCGAGUGAUUCCUGCUAAAGGAAUCUUUUGUUAGUCUUAAAAUCACUAUUGAAUAAGGGGUGGGCAAGUUCUGGUGUCAGCCGCCGCGGUAAAACCAGCACCUCAAGUGGUCAGGAGGAUUAUUGGGCCUAAAGCAUCCGUAGCCUGCUCUGUAAGUUUCCGGUUAAAUCCAUUAGCUCAACUAAUGGCCUGCCGGAAAUACUGCAGAGCUAGGAAGUGGGAGAGGUAGACGGUACUCGGUAGGAAGGGGUAAAAUCCUUUGAUCUAUUGAUGACCACCUGUGGCGAAGGCGGUCUACCAGAACACGUUCGACGGUGAGGGAUGAAAGCUGGGGGAGCAAACCGGAUUAGAUACCCGGGUAGUCCCAGCUGUAAACGAUGCAGACUCGGUGAUGCGCUGGCUUGUGGCCAGUGCAGUGCCGCAGGGAAGCCGUUAAGUUUGCCGCCUGGGAAGUACGUACGCAAGUAUGAAACUUAAAGGAAUUGGCGGGGGAGCACCACAAGGGGUGAAGCCUGCGGUUCAAUUGGAGUCAACGCCGGA